rnacentral:piRNA from 1 species
UGGAAACAGAGCUUAAGGACUAGGGAC